rnacentral:rRNA from 1 species
GAGACAGCAGCAGCCACGGUAAUACGUAGGUGGCAAGCGUUGUCCGGAAUUAUUGGGCGUAAAGCGCGCGCAGGCGGAUAGGUCAGUCUGUCUUAAAAGUUCGGGGCUUAACCCCGUGAUGAGAUGGAAACUGCCAAUCUAGAGUAUCGGAGAGGAAAGUGGAAUUCCUAGUGUAGCGGUGAAAUGCGUAGAUAUUAGGAAGAACACCAGUGGCGAAGGCGACUUUCUGGACGAAAACUGACGCUGAGGCGCGAAAGCCAGGGGAGCGAGCGGGAUUAGAUACCCGUGUAGUCCCUGUCUCUUAUACA